UUUUUUUUUUUUUUUUUUUUAAAGCCUUGGUGGUGAGGGGAAAAGCAGAUAAACCUAAGAGCAAAUCGUAGUUACAUUCUUACAUUUGAUUGUUACUGCUCUUUGGUCUCUCCUGUCUUAGAACAGUCCCAUAUAUCUUUCUCUCUCUCUCUCCCCCCACCCCCUCUCUCAAGACAUCAACACAAUGUGUUAAGCACUCCUGGCUAGUUUUCUUGUGGAAUGUCCCACAUUCAGCAUUUAUCUGAUUAUUUACCACCAAACCUCGUCAUUUCCUGGAAAUGAGAGGUCAGGUCUGAGGACCUGAUUGGACACAGAAUAAACAUAUUAACAAGAAUACUCCAAAGGUGGUUAAGUGGUCCAUGUUCAUCACAGCAAAAGACACAUGGUAUCAAGAUUUCCACUACAAGAUUGGUUCAACUCGGUUCAAGUGGCGACUUACAGAUCUCUUUAUUGUAAAGGCACUUUUCCUUUUUGUAAUAGUAAAUGAUGAAUGGGAUGAUAAUUUUGUAUGCAUAUAUCCCAUUCCCAGCAGUCUUUCCCACAAAGGUACUGGUAUCCACUGAUGUUUCUGGCCUAAACUGUUCCACUGGAGUUUACAGCAUGAAGGUUUUCUAGUCUGACACUACUUCAAAAUGUAUUAAUGUCUCUCUAAAGGAGGGCUUUCCUUUUUCUCUUUUCAUUACUCUGGACUCAUACAUUAAUUUUAUUAUUUAAGGUUUUAUAAUAAUUUACAAUCAUUCUUGCACUGAUGCUCAGAUAUUUCCAAACUUGGUCAGCAGGAGCUCCACUGGGUUAAAGUACUUCGAUGUGAUCCAACAGCUUUUGAGGACUUCCUUGUUUUCUGGCUUUUACCCUCUGCCAAAAUCUAGGAUCUGCCAUUUUUCAUAGACACACUAUAGUCUUUCGGUGAGAAGAAUAUUUAAAAGACCACAUUAUCAAUGCUAAGUGCAAUUACUGAUACUGAGAUUGUUGAUGCUUCUAAACUCUGGAGGAUAUAUGUAUACAACCACAGAUUUGCAGUGAUAUUCCCAUCUAAUUUGAUAGUGAAAAUUUUUUUGUGUCUGUCUUUAUUAAUAUUCUUAAAGUUAAAUUUAUUGUUCCUAAUAAAAUUAAUUAGGUUAAAAGCUUGUCCUGGAAGAUAUCUAUAAUGGUUUCAAGAUUAUUACAAACAACACAGUCCUACAAAACAAAAACAUCAUCCUGUAUCGAUCAGUCUGUAUUUUCAAUAAUUGUACAUCUUGAAGAUUUUGCCAUAUCAGGACACAUACCCUAUUUUUUCAUCAGUGUAUUAAUAUUCAAAACAUGGGCAUACCACAGUUUAUGUAGCCAUUUACCAGCAAAUGGACAUUCAGGUUUUUUCUAACACUUUGCUACUACAAAUAAUGUUACAAUUAACAUAUUUGCAUACAUAUAUUUGUGUAUUCUUCUGCAAAACGACUCAUUAUAUUCUUUGAAUUAUUUUUCCUUAUUCAUAACCCAUUUUUCCAAUCUGUGUUAAUCUGUAGAAGCUCUCUUUUAUUUUUGUUAAAACUUUGCUACAUGUUGCAAACAUUUUUCUACUCAACAGGAAUUAUCUUGCUAUAAUGUCUUAUCUUAGGGAAGUUUGUUCCAUUCCAAGGGAGCCAACCCCACCUUCCUUUCCCUUUUCAGACAUAUGGUUCUCUACAUUUUGAUGCAUAAAAACAAAAUGAACAAACAAAAACAACAGUAACAACUUUGUGCUUUAUAUGUGUGUAUAAUCUCCUUCUCAUUUUUCAUUUAUUUGGACUCUUUCUGGACUCUUACUGCAUCACCAGCAGUAUUUUAAUUACCAGAGCUUUAUAAUAUACCAAGCACAGUAUAGCAAGUAAUAUAGUAUAAGACCUGUCUCGUUUUUAUUUUUUAAAGUUUGUAUUGGAUAGUCUUAGUCUCAUUCACAUGUUCUACUUUUUAUAUUUGAGAACCAAGUUGUUAAGUUUCCCUCACUCCCUAAAAAGAAAAAAAUUUGUGGGAUUGAUUGUCAUUGCAUUUAUUUGGGGGAUAAAACUUUGAAAAAGCCUAUGUAUUUUUUUAUUUUUAUCUUUUGAAAUUUAGGGCCACACCUGCGGCACAUGCAAGUUCCCCAGCUAGGGGUUGAAUAGGAGCUGCAGCUGCAGGCCUACACCACAGCCAAGCAAUGUCAGAUCCGAGUCGUAUCUGCAACCCACACCAUGGCUCACAGCAAUAUCGGAUCCUUAACCCACUGAAUGAGGCCAGGGAUUGAAACUGCAACCUCAUGGAUACCUGUCGGGUCUGUUUCCACUGAGCCACAACAGGAACUCCAAGCCUAUAUUUUCUUUCAAAGACAGAUUUUAAAAGAAAAGAAGAGUGCCCUCUUUUUCGCAGUUCAACUGCACAGUAGCUUUUAUGGAAUAAACAUGGCAGAAGCACUCUUUUUUUUUUUAAUUUCUUGACUAUACACAGGGGGAGAGGGACAAACAAAAAUACUAGCAACACUGUCAAAGCUCCAGAAAAAGGAAAAAACCUGUAGUACAAUUUAAUUGUGGCUCACUAUUCAUAUAAAAUAAAUCCAUUCACAAUGGUAAUUUAUUUAAUUAUAAAUGCUCAGAUGCAACUUUACCUCAGGAUACAAGAUUUAUGCAAAGAAGCGUGUAAAGCCCAACUAAGUGGACAGGAAAAAAAAGAAAUGUAAUUUCUAGUUAACAAAAUUAAACACAGCAAUGACAACAAAAAUACCCCAAAAAGACUGGAACCAUUAUGUAAAAGGUAAGGCCAAAAUGCUAAAGCUCUAGAGAAAGGAAGACAACCUGUGCUGAUGCUACACCACAAGAAGACAAGGGAGUCCUCAGAUGUUACAUGACCAACCCAGUCACAGGCCUGGCCCUGUAUGCAGAUGCUGGCAAAUUCACUUCCUAGGAAGUCACCCUAGGCACCAAGAAGGUAUCCAGAAGUCACCUGACUAGUCAGGGGUAAAUGCCUUAGGACGAGACUUCUACAUUUCAGGUUAGUGUCUCCAGCAAACACCACCAAAGGUAUAAGUAAUAAAUAAUAAUGAUCUUAUCCCACCCCACCCCUCAGCUCACCUAACCUGUGACUAUACAGUACAUACAGUAUAUACACAGCCUAUAUGAAAGGCAAAUUGUCUGGAAUGUUUAAUUCACCUUGAACAUUCACAUGCAUUUUACAUUCAACUUUGUAUUAUUUGUAAAUUCAUUCUACUAUAUAAAUAAUCUUUUAAUUGCUUAACAGUUACAUUGUUUAAUGCUUCUUUGUUUCAAACUCUUUUAGUAAAACCAAUGCUCUGAUAAAUAGAAUUUAUCCUAUGGGUACAUGGCUCUCUCUUUACACAAGUUAGACCGUACAUACUAAAUCACACCACUAAAUACUAGGGAAUUAUACAUGAAAAGCAAGACCUUUGAAAAUCAAGAACAAUAUAAACAAAAUAGAUAUUAAUAUAGCCUCUGAUGGACAGCUACUUUGGUUAAAGAGCCAAACAUUUAAAGUUUCUUUUUAAAUCAGGUAUAAAAAUAGGAACUCACAAAUUUCUUUAAAAAUAGAAAAAACUAAUAGUAAAGGUGAGAAAAUCAAAUGAUACUAGUUCAUAAGGUAUAUUCUUCCUUUAAUGUUAAAUUCAUAAUGACAGAAAAUAUAAGCUUAUACAUAAUGACUGAAUAUAAGCAAAUGUAUAUGGAGAGGUGUGUGUGUGUGUGUGAGUGUGUGUGUGUGUGUGUGUGUGUGUGUGUAUUUCUAAUACUUUUAACAAAAUUCAUCAAAAUAAUAGCUUUUAAAUUAGGAUCUAACCAAAAAUGAUAUUUGGUCUUACUUUAAAUAUGACCACAUAGACAUUUCUGAUAAUUACUUAACAAUUAUGUAGUUUUCAUUCAUAAUAAAGCAAUUAUAUCCAUGAUCUUCCUAACCUAUCAUUUAACUUGUCUUUAAUGGCCUUUUUACAAAAGUUUUAAAUGUCAAGAUCCCUGUCUUUAAUUUUUUGUUUAAUAUUUUCAUUUUAUCUUUAAGAAUAAUCUUUACGAAUAAAUUAGAUCUGGAAACAUACAUUUUCUCAGGCUCCAAAACCUGAUUCUAACAAAUUUUAUCUAGCACUAAGAGAAUAAUAUACACCAAUGUACAAUAACUUUGGCAUAAUAAUAAGCUUAUGUAUUUAAGAAAAUAUAUAGCAGAUUCCAAACUUCGCAACUGGAUAAACCAAUAAGAUGACUUGAAAGCUUUCUAAGUGCAAAUAUUUGGGAACAAGCCACAGAAAAUAAAACCUGGCUGCACAGCUCUGAGUCUCUACACUCCCAUGCCUCCCAUCUUCAAUUACAUCCAUAUGGAAAAUAUUCAAUUAACACUCAGAGCUUGCAUACCUCUUCUAAAAAGGCAUAACAAGCAUAUUAUCAGAGCAAACAACCCAAAUGACUUAAUCAAGCUUCCAAGUAUAAAUGAAUUAUUUUACCAAAAAGAAAUGUGUAUAUGCACUCCAAGUUUAUCAUCUGUUCCCUUCAUUCUUUUCCUUAGAGUAAAAUGAAAUCUAGAUUAGGAUAUAUUAUGUUACAAGUAGAAACUCCCACGGCCCAGAGUAGCCCAUCACAUAUGAUUUCAGAGCCAAGUUAGAACAAAGAUCCGUUUUCUAUAAACAAUGCUACAAAUAUAAAUAUUAUCUCAAUACAUUUUCCAUGAUGUAAUAUAAUUAAAACCCAUCCAAAAAAGUUCACUUUUAUUUAAUCAAUCUAUUUACUAAAACACAAUCAUGUGAUAUCUAAAAAAGAUCUGCUUUACAUAUGCAACACUCAACUACACAUGAUUUUUGUACAUAAAAAAGAAAUUAUUAUAUGUCACUUAGACAUAUGACUGAGGUGUUAAAUAAACUUAUGGCAAUAAAUAUUAGAUGCCAAAAACUAUCAAGGAAGUAGAUAAAUCACAUUAUUUUUAUGGAAGGGAUAACAGAUUAUGCAGAUGAUUUCUAUCUUUUUGUCUAUUUUGCAAAUUCUAAUUAAUGUGUUUCUUUACCUAUUUAAAAUACAUGUAACAAAAUAACCAAACAAUUCCACAUUUUAUAAUCAUCAAAGAUCAUCAUGUCUUUUUAAAAAACUUUAUACUAGUACCAGUUUUAUUUAUCACUCCACAUCUAGCAUAUAUAAGAAACCACCUUACAUAUAGUAGGCAUUCAUUAUUUACUGAAUACAAUUACUUAAUUUUUCUAAGCUUCAAUUUCAUCAAAGUAAAAAAAACCAUACUUACAACUGCUUAAGAAUAAAUCAGAUAAUAAAUACACACAAGAGGUGCUAAAAUGUUAGCCUGACCCCUUGUUUCUGUAGAUAGAAAUAAUUACCAUUAAUUAUCAUUUUCAUUCAAACCUUAAAAGAUCAAAAAAAAAAAAAAAAAAAGGCCAAAUUAUUCUCUCAAAGUUUACAUGAGAAAAAGAUUAUUUUCCGAAGAACUAGAAAUGCUGUUCAUAAACAGCAAGAAAAGUUUAGGUUAAAAAGAAAGGAAUGUGGUGUUCCCUUGUGACACUGCAGGUUAAAGAUCUGGCACUGUCACUACAAUGGCCCAGGUCACUGCUGUGGUGUAGGUUUGAUCCCUGGCCCAGGAACUACCACAUGC
rnacentral:lncRNA from 1 species